UGAGGAAUAUUGGUCAAUGGGCGCAAGCCUGAACCAGCCAUCCCGCGUGCAGGAAGACGGCGCUAUGCGUUGUAAACUGCUUUUCCAGGGGGAGAAACUUGCGCACGUGUUGCGCAAUUGACGGUACCCUGGGAAUAAGCAUCGGCUAACUCCGUGCCAGCAGCCGCGGUAAUACGGAGGAUGCGAGCGUUAUCCGGAUUCAUUGGGUUUAAAGGGUGCGUAGGCGGACUAUUAAGUCAGUGGUGAAAUCCUGCAGCUUAACUGCAGAACUGCCAUUGAUACUGAUAGCCUUGAGUUUGGUUAAGGUAGGCAGUAUGUGUAAUGUAGCGGUGAAAUGCUUAGAUAUUACACAGAACACCAAUUGCGUAGGCAGCUUACUGAGCCGACACUGACGCUGAGGCACGAAAGCGUGGGGAUCGAACAG
rnacentral:rRNA from 1 species